rnacentral:rRNA from 1 species
UAGGGAAUCUUCGGCAAUGGACGAAAGUCUGACCGAGCAACGCCGCGUGAGUGAAGAAGGUUUUCGGAUCGUAAAACUCUGUUGCCAAGGAAGAACGGUUGGGAGAGUAACUGCUCUUGAUUUGACGGUACUUGAGAAGAAAGCCCCGGCUAACUACGUGCCAGCAGCCGCGGUAAUACGUAGGGGGCAAGCGUUGUCCGGAAUUAUUGGGCGUAAAGCGCGCGCAGGCGGUUGUUUAAGUCUGGUGUAUAAACCAAGGGCUCAACCUUUGGACGCAUUGGAAACUGGGCAACUGGAGUGUAGGAGAGGAAAGUGGAAUUCCACGUGUAGCGGUGAAAUGCGUAGAGAUGUGGAGGAACACCAGUGGCGAAGGCGACUUUCUGGCCUAUAACUGACGCUGAGGCGCGAAAGCGUGGGGAGCAAACA